rnacentral:rRNA from 1 species
AGCCCAGCACUGAAUCCCGCCGUUGUAACGGCGGCGGGAGAUGUGGUGUUCGGGAGGUUCCGCUUUCUCGUCGUCGUCUUCUCCUGUCCAAGUUCGUCUUGAACGGGGCCGUUUUCCCGUAGAGGGUGCCAGGCCCGUAGCGACGGAGGAUGGCGGCGAGAGGGACUCUCCUCAGAGUCGGGUUGCUUGAGAGUGCAGCCCUAAGUGGGUGGUAAACUCCAUCUAAGGCUAAAUAUUACCGCGAGACCGAUAGCGAACAAGUACCGU